rnacentral:tRNA from 1 species
GGGUGCAGCUCAGUGGUAGAGCACUUGCCUAUCAUGUGAGGGCCUGGGUUUGAUCCCCAGUACUGGGGUCA